rnacentral:rRNA from 1 species
AGAGUUUGAUCCUGGCUCAGAUUGAACGCUGGCGGCAUGCCUUACACAUGCAAGUCGAACGGUAACAGGUCUUCGGAUGCUGACGAGUGGCGAACGGGUGAGUAAUACAUCGGAACGUGCCCGAUCGUGGGGGAUAACGGAGCGAAAGCUUUGCUAAUACCGCAUACGAUCUACGGAUGAAAGCGGGGGAUCUUCGGACCUCGCGCGGACGGAGCGGCCGAUGGCAGAUUAGGUAGUUGGUGGGAUAAAAGCUUACCAAGCCGACGAUCUGUAGCUGGUCUGAGAGGAUGAUCAGCCACACUGGGACUGAGACACGGCCCAGACUCCUACGGGAGGCAGCAGUGGGGAAUUUUGGACAAUGGGGGCAACCCUGAUCCAGCCAUGCCGCGUGCAGGAUGAAGGCCUUCGGGUUGUAAACUGCUUUUGUACGGAACGAAAAGACUCUGGUUAAUACCUGGGGUCCAUGACGGUACCGUAAGAAUAAGCACCGGCUAACUACGUGCCAGCAGCCGCGGUAAUACGUAGGGUGCAAGCGUUAAUCGGAAUUACUGGGCGUAAAGCGUGCGCAGGCGGUGAUGUAAGACAGAGGUGAAAUCCCCGGGCUCAACCUGGGAACUGCCUUUGUGACUGCAUCGCUGGAGUGCGGCAGAGGGGGAUGGAAUUCCGCGUGUAGCAGUGAAAUGCGUAGAUAUGCGGA